rnacentral:rRNA from 1 species
UGGGAUUAGAUACCCCACUAUGCUUAGCCCUUAACAAAGACGGCACAACACACUACCGUUCGCCAGCAGAACUACGAGUGAAAAACUUAAAACUCCAAGGACUUGGCGGUGCUCCACAUCAUCCUAGAGGAGCCUGUCCUAUAAUCGAUACCCCCCGUUCUACCUUACCAUUUUUUGAACCACACAGCCUAUAUACCGCCGUCGUCAGCCUACCUUAUGAAAGACUAAAAGUAGGCAAAAUAGUUAAUAACUAAAACGUCAGGUCAAGGUGUAGCACAUAAAAUGGAAGAGAUGGGCUACAUUUUCUCACUUAGAACACACGAAUGAUACGGUGAAACCCGUGCCUGAAGGAGGAUUUAGCUGUAAGACAAACCAGAGAGCUUGUCUAAACCCGCCCUGGAGCGCGCACACACCGCCCGUCACCC